UAGGGAAUCUUCGGCAAUGGACGAAAGUCUGACCGAGCAACGCCGCGUGAGUGAAGAAGGUUUUCGGAUCGUAAAACUCUGUUGUUAGAGAAGAACAAGGACGUUAGUAACUGAACGUCCCCUGACGGUAUCUAACCAGAAAGCCACGGCUAACUACGUGCCAGCAGCCGCGGUAAUACGUAGGUGGCAAGCGUUGUCCGGAUUUAUUGGGCGUAAAGCGAGCGCAGGCGGUUUCUUAAGUCUGAUGUGAAAGCCCCCGGCUCAACCGGGGAGGGUCAUUGGAAACUGGGAGACUUGAGUGCAGAAGAGGAGAGUGGAAUUCCAUGUGUAGCGGUGAAAUGCGUAGAUAUAGGGAGGAACACCAGUGGCGAAGGCGGCUCUCUGGUCUGUAACUGACGCUCAGGUGCGAAAGCGUGGGGAGCAAACAGG
rnacentral:rRNA from 1 species